rnacentral:lncRNA from 14 species
UAGGUUUGUUGGUCUGCAGACUCUUCAGUACUUUUAACUAUGGAGUGUCAUGGAAUGACCUGUGCCAGGAUGCAGGAAAAAAUCUGACUCCAGGCUGUGAUGAUAAGGAAGGAGCACAAGUGACAAAUGAAUAGAAGACACCUUUAACUGAGAGUCAGUACUUUUCCUGCUGUGUUAACUCACAGAACAGAUCAGUACUAACAGCCAGAAAUCGGCUUGUCGAGCGCUUCAGCUGAUGUUAACCAAAAGCUGUGUUUUACAUGUUUUAGGAUACCAGUCACAGAAUCACAGGAUGGUUGAGGUUGGAAGGGACUUCUGGAGGUCAGUCCCUCUCCUCAAGCAGCGACACCCAGAGAC